rnacentral:rRNA from 1 species
UCGAGGAUCUUCGGCAAUGGGCGCAAGCCUGACCGAGCGACGCCGCGUGCGCGAUGAAGGCCUUCGGGUUGUAAAGCGCUGUCGAGGGGGAGGAAAGCCCGCAAGGGUCUGACCUAUCCCUGGAGGAAGCACGGGCUAAGUUCGUGCCAGCAGCCGCGGUAAGACGAACCGUGCGAACGUUGUUCGGAUUCACUGGGCUUAAAGGGCGCGUAGGCGGAUCGUCAAGUCUGGGGUGAAAUCUUUCGGCUUAACCGGAAAACCGCCCGGGAUACUGACGGUCUUGAGGGAGGUAGGGGCAUGCGGAACUUCCGGUGGAGCGGUGAAAUGCGUAGAUAUCGGAAGGAACGCCGGUGGCGAAAGCGGCGUGCUGGACCUCUUCUGACGCUGAGGCGCGAAAGCCAGGGGAGCAAACGGGAUUAGAUACCCCCGUAGUCC